UACGAAGGGGGCUAGCGUUGCUCGGAAUUACUGGGCGUAAAGCGCACGUAGGCGGCUCUUUAAGUCGGGGGUGAAAUCCUGGAGCUCAACUCCAGAACUGCCUUCGAUACUGAAGAGCUUGAGUCCGGGAGAGGUGGGUGGAACUGCGAGUGUAGAGGUGAAAUUCGUAGAUAUUCGCAAGAACACCAGUGGCGAAGGCGGCUCACUGGCCCGGUACUGACGCUGAGGUGCGAAAGCGUGGGGAGCAAACAGG
rnacentral:rRNA from 1 species